rnacentral:ncRNA from 2 species
GAGGAAGCCGGUGUGAAUCCGGCGCGGUCCCGCCACUGUGAUCGGCGCGGUCUUUCCGACGCGCCGGGAGCCAGAUACUC